GCAAUGGCUAAAAAAACAGGUUGUUGCAAAAGGCAGCUUCUGGAUUGGCCUCACGGACUCAGUGAAAGAAGAUGAAUGGCGAUGGCUGGAUGGAACCUUACCAGAAUAUAUAAACUGGAGCGCUGGACAACCCGAUAACUGGAAACAUGGCCAUGGACCUGGGGAAGAUUGUGCUGGGUUAAUCCAUGCUGGGCUUUGGAACGACUUUCACUGUGAAGAUGUUAACAGUUUUAUUUGUGAGCAGGAGAUGGACAAAGCUGAAGCUCUGGGAUUGUAAUAGGCUGUGAACCUUAUAAGAGACACAAAUGAGUGAGAUUUCCUGAAUGAUGAAGUAUCCUCUGGGACAGAACCAUCACCCAACCAAAAGAGGGAGCACUGAGAACAUUGAUGAAAAAAAUUCAUCAGCACAAUUCGUCCGCAUUAUCUUCUAAUUUUUCAGGGGCUUUACAACGUUGCAGAAACGCAUCAAUUGGGAAUACAAUUGGACUAAACCAGCUAUAGAUCCUCUUCAACCAUAAAACAUACAGAUGCUGAAGAUUUAUAAAACAAUGGACUAUGCCAAGAUGACUACAAAUCAUGACUUUUCCACAGGAAGAAAGAAUACAAACCUACUGUGUAAACACAAUAGCCACUUGCUAAAAUCCCAAAUACUGGCAAAUUAUAUAAAUAUACAUUUAUAAAUAUAUAUAAAUUUUAUAUAUAAAUAUAUAUAGGCCAAUUCUGAUCAGUAAUAUAGAAUAUACUUUUAAAAUUUUUGUAUUUUUGUACAAAAUAUUUGCUUACUACAAUGGUCUUUUUAACUGCCUUUUUAUAUAAAUAUAGUACACAGAAGCCAAAGAAAAUAGCAGUGAUACUACUUAUAAUUCACUAGAAAUGAUUGUCAGGUAUAAGUCUCAUCAGUUUAAAACAUAGUUUUGUUUUAUAGAUAAAUAUUAUAUGCCAGAUAAAUUACCCUAGUUUAAUAACUUUUGAAGUUGACUGUAGGAGGCAUUUGCCGUAUUUUAGCAGUCAUCACCAAUCUGGUGCCCUUCACAUGUUUUGGGGCAUAGCAGUGCUGGCUGGGACUCAUGGGGAUUCUAGUGCAAAACACCUGGAUGCCACCGCAUUGGCUAAGCCCAGCAUAGAGCAAGUUGUGAUCCCAAAGAUAGAUAUGAUGCUGUUUUCUAAUACCAUUUUUCUGAUUUGGUUCCAUUUCAUGGGAUGGAAUGACUGCAAGAUACGCAGAGUAAACCAUGUACGGAUGGGAGCCUAGCAACUGCUACAGUGCUGUCUUCAAAGAAGUGAGGUCACCAAUGUGUGCAGAGGCCAGAACUCAGUAGCAGAGCAGAUUCUUUGCAUGCAGAAGGCCUCAGGCUUAGUCUCUAUUAUUUCCAAUUCAAAGGAUCAGUAGAUAGUGAUGGGGAUGACCUCUGCUAAAGACCUUGGACAACUACUUAUUCUGGGCCAGAUGGACAAAUAGUCUCAACUGUUUUAAGGCAGAUUCCUACAUAUCUCCUUCCUAUCUAGAAGGUUUCUGCUGCCAAGAACUCAACUGUAAUACAGAGAAAUGGAAACGUAAGGCCAAACUAGACAGUUCAUGCAGUUCAAUGUGUGUAACUUGUCCUCAAUGUCUUUUGGGUUGGUUGGUUGGUUGGUUGGUUGGUUGGUUUGCUUACUCCAAAAAUAUUUGAGAGGAGCUAAUGGGCAAUGGAACAACAGUACCCUUUCCUUUUUAGCCAUGUUUCCACUCCAAUCAGUUCCUCCAAGCUGCUCCUCUUUUCUCGGCAGGGAAGAAUGGCGUCUUACGGGAUAGAUUAAGUGCCUCCUUUCCCAGUGCUGCUCCUCUGCUACUUGACAACCAUUCCAAAAGGGGUUUGAGUGCUGUUGUUUUUUAAAGACACUGAAGAGAACUUAUAUGCAUCUGCUUCUAGUUUGGUCCUCAGCUGGCACAAAUACUGGCAUUAAGACUUCCUGUGCAAGCAUAAUGUUCAGGAAUGAAUUUUGCUUCAAGUAGAUUUUGUGCUCAAAAUAAAUGACAUGUCGCACAUUUUGACCUUCA